rnacentral:rRNA from 1 species
UACGGAGGGUGCAAGCGUUAAUCGGAAUUACUGGGCGUAAAGGGCGCGUAGGUGGUUAUAUAAGUUGGCUGUGAAAGACCUGGGCUUAACCUGGGCAAGUCAGCCAUAACUGUGUGACUAGAGUACAUGAGAGGGUAGUGGAAUUUCAGGUGUAGCGGUGAAAUGCGUAGAGAUCUGAAGGAACACCAGUGGCGAAGGCGACUACCUGGCAUGAUACUGACACUGAGGCGCGAAAGCGUGGGGAGCAAACAGG